AACGAACGCUGGCGGCAGGCUUAACACAUGCAAGUCGAGCGCCCCGCAAGGGGAGCGGCAGACGGGUGAGUAACGCGUGGGAACCUACCCAUCUCUACGGAAUAACGCAUGGAAACGUGUGCUAAUCCCGUAUACGUCCUUCGGGAGAAAGAUUUAUCGGAGAUGGAUGAGCCCGGGUUGGAUUAGGUAGUUGGGGGGGUAAAGGCCUACCAAGGCGACGAUCCAGAGCUGGUCUGAGAGGAUGAUCAGCCACACGGGGACGGAGACACGGCCCAGACUCCUACGGGAGGCAGCAGUGGGGAAUAUUGGACAAUGGGCGCAAGCCUGAUCCAGCCAUGCCGCGUGAGUGAUGAAGGCCCUAGGGUUGUAAAGCUCUUUCACCGGUGAAGAUAAUGACGGUAACCGGAGAAGAAGCCCCGGCUAACUUCGUGCCAGCCGCCGCCGUAAGAC
rnacentral:rRNA from 1 species